UCCCUAUCGAUCAAACUUCCUUGGCUCUCACCAUCUCUAAUUAAACCCCAGGUCUCCCAAAACCUCACCCCAUGCCUUGCAUAUGCUCUUUUUCUCUCUGGAACUUUAAGCGGCAUCAUCGUCCCACCGCCUUCCCCCUCUACCUUCUCUCUAACCCUAAACCGCCACUAAAUCUCCGUACACACAAACAUGUACACUCUAAAGAAAACCCCAGGUGUAUGUCAUUUGCCAAUGCUGAUAUUAGACAUCGACGCUACAAUUGAAGGAGUCAAGGAGGUGUUUCAUGUGAAUCCAUAUCUGUUCUUAGGUUUCUUUGAAGAGGGACAUUUUUGCUGUUAUAUUUCUCUUGGAUUUUCUUUGACCGUACCACUCUUCGUAAUAGGAAGACACGCUACAAAAGGUCUACUCUCCAUGUAAAGAAUCUCUCGUUUCAUUACCUUGACUUGAUGACAAAAACUCAUAUUCUUCUUUUAAUAACAUAUUCAAUCUGUUUUUUUAAUCAUAUUGAACAUGUAUCUACACGAAAGCCGAGUAUCUGGUCAAAUCCGAGAGUUUUAUAAAGGUUUUACUGGUGUUUCAAGGGAAAGAAAGACAUAAUCUCUCAAGUGAAGGGAGAAUUGCAUAUGGAUCUGGGUGUUGUUGUUAAGCUUAUGUCAAAUUUAUUGAUCAAAAUCAUUAAGUUUAGAAAAGAGGGUGAGUUGAUUUACCUAAUUUAACUAUACCUUUGUUUAUUUUAGUGUGUUAAAAUUGGUUUCUAUACCUUGAUAUUUGGUUUUGAGUUUAAGACUCAUGUUCUGUAACGUCAAUUUUGAUUUCUAGAUUUAAAUUCUUGACAUAUAUACUGUCCAAGUUUGAUCUUUCUUAUAGUUUGUGAUUUGAUCACUCUAUGUGUUUUGUUAACUUCAUAACUUAUUGUUAGAUGGGAUUUUUAGUAAAAUUUUCAUAUUAUCUCUUCUUUUUGUGUUUAUGGACAGGCUGGAGUUGUGACAUGAGUAAGUGGUCUAUGGUCUUAAUUCUAUUUGGUUCAGUUGGCUUCAUUUUUAAAAUUUUCAAGAUUGAAUAAACCUCUAAGGUUUGUUUUUUCCCUGUUUUCAUAAUUUUUAUUGCUUUUAGGAGAAAGGUUAUGAUGUUAACACAAUGAACUAUUAAUUCUAAAAAAACAGUUAAACAACUUUGAUCCGUUCUUGAAACAGAGUGUCCCUUAUGGGAGUUGAUUGCAUCGAAAGGAGUUAAAUUUGUUGGUAAUUAGUUUUCCAUAAUAACACCUUAUUGCAAUUUGCACAUUAUGUUACUGUUGAUCUAAUUAUGAAUGUAAAAAGAUGAUGUUUUUUUUUUUUUAUUUUCAUUAUGAAAUUAAACAUUGCAUUUAGAAAGAUGUUUUUUUAUUUUAUUUUACUUGAUUGAUAUAACUAUAAAAAAUAUUAGAUGAUUAAUAUAUAAAUCACGCCUUCUCUCUUUCUCUCAAAUGACAUGCUUCUGUUUUCUGUUUUCAGGUUAUUUACAUUUUUAAUCAUAUCACAGGCUUUCGCUUUCAGCAGGUUAUGCAAAUGAGUAGGAAGACAAAUCAACCACAAUUUAUACGGGGAACAAUCUCGAAGGGAAAAAACAAAGAGAAGCAAAAGUAAAAUACUCCAAAAGCAGCGUAGCAGCAUGAACAUCUGAUAUAAGCAAUUAAGCAGGAACAUAGAAACCGAAGUGUAUUUUAGUAAAAAAUUUAACUAUUAAUAAAAAAACAAUAAUUGGUUAUUUGAGAGUUUGUAGUUCUUUUGAUUUAUUAAUUUUGGAAAUCUCACAUUUUAUUCUCCUAACUUUACAUGUCAUGGUUUGAGUUUAUCUAUGUAAAUGAUUUACCUAACGUUGUUUUUUUCUUCGAAUGCAAUGUUUGUUAGUGGCAAUUUAAUUUA